UGCAGUCGAACGAUGAAGCCCAGCUUGCUGGGUGGAUUAGUGGCGAACGGGUGAGUAACACGUGAGCAACCUGCCCCUGACUCUGGGAUAAGCGCUGGAAACGGCGUCUAAUACUGGAUAUGUCCCGUCACCGCAUGGUGUGCGGGUGGAAAGAUUUUUCGGUUGGGGAUGGGCUCGCGGCCUAUCAGCUUGUUGGUGGGGUAGUGGCUUACCAAGGCUUUGACGGGUAGCCGGCCUGAGAGGGUGACCGGCCACAUUGGGACUGAGAUACGGCCCAGACUCCUACGGGAGGCAGCAGUGGGGAAUAUUGCACAAUGGGCGGAAGUCUGAUGGAGCAACGCCGCGUGAACGAUGAAGGCCUUCGGGUCGUAAAGUUCUGUUGUAAGGGAAGAACAAGUGCCGCAGGCAAUGGCGGCACCUUGACGGUACCUUGCGAGAAAGCCACGGCUAACUACGUGCCAGCAGCCGCGGUAAU
rnacentral:rRNA from 1 species